rnacentral:rRNA from 1 species
UACGUAGGGUGCAAGCGUUGUCCGGAUUUAUUGGGCGUAAAGAGCUCGUAGGCGGUCUGUCGCGUCGGAUGUGAAAACCCAGGGCUCAACCCUGGGCCUGCAUUCGAUACGGGCAGACUAGAGUACGGCAGGGGAGACUGGAAUUCCUGGUGUAGCGGUGAAAUGCGCAGAUAUCAGGAGGAACACCGAUGGCGAAGGCAGGUCUCUGGGCCGAUACUGACGCUGAGGAGCGAAAGCGUGGGGAGCGAACAGG